GAUGAACGCUGGCGGCGUGCCUAAUACAUGCAAGUCGAGCGAACGGACGAUAAGCUUGCUUUUCUGAUGUUAGCGGCGGACGGGUGAGUAACACGUGUAUAACCUACCUAUAAGACUGGUAUAACUUCGGGAAACCGGAUCUAAUACCGGAUAAUAUUUUGAACCGCAUGGUUCAAAAGUGAAAGACGGUCUUGCUGUCACUUAUAGAUGGAUCCGCGCUGCAUUAGCUAGUUGGUAAGGUAACGGCUUACCAAGGCAACGAGGCAUAGCCGACCUGAGAGGGUGAUAGGCGACACUGGAACUGAGCCACGGUCAAGACUCCUACGGGAGGCAGCAGUAGGGAAUCUUCCGCAAUGGGCGAAAGCCUGACGGAGCAACGCCGCGUGAGUGAUGAAGGUCUUCGGAUCGUAAAAAUCUGUUAUUAGGGAAGAACAUAUGUGUAAGUAACUGUGCACAUCUUGACGGUAACUAAUAAGAAAGCCACGGCUAACUACGUG
rnacentral:rRNA from 1 species